rnacentral:rRNA from 1 species
GAUGAACGCUGGCGGCGUGCCUAAUACAUGCAAGUCGAGCGAAUGGAUUAAGAGCUUGCUCUUAUGAAGUUAGCGGCGGACGGGUGAGUAACACGUGGGUAACCUGCCCAUAAGACUGGGAUAACUCCGGGAAACCGGGGCUAAUACCGGAUAACAUUUUGAACCGCAUGGUUCGAAAUUGAACGGCGGCUUCGGCUGUCACUUAUGGAUGGACCCGGGUCGCAUUAGCUAGUUGGUGAGGUAACGGCUCACCAAGGCAACGAUGCGUAGCCGACCUGAGAGGGUGAUCGGCCACACUGGGACUGAGACACGGCCCAGACUCCUACGGGGGGCAGCAGUAGGGAAUCUUCCGCAAUGGACGAAAGUCUGACGGAGCAACGCCGCGUGAGUGAUGAAGGCUUUCGGGUCGUAAAACUCUGUUGUUAGGGAAGAACAAGUGCUAGUUGAAUAAGCUGGCACCUUGACGGUACCUAACCAGAAAGCCACGGCUAACUACGUGCCAGCCGCCGCAGUAA